CACAAUUUAUCAUCGCUCAUCUUUUCCACAGAAAGCGAAAACUGCUGGAAUUUGUUAAAUGUGAGCUGAUAACUACUCCUGGAUAUGUGGUGCCUAACCAAAAUGGCACGAAACUGAGUAAAGGGAAGUUAUCUUAUGCCUCUUCCGUUCCAUGCUUGUUCGAUUUAGUUCACUCAACUGAGGCUUCUGAUGAGAAAACUCAUAGGUCACGUAGUUCUGGCAGUUCAAUGACAUAUGAGGAUACAUUGCCUGAGGAACAGUUAUAUAUAGAAUUAUCCUUCCGAUAGAUGAUGUUUAGAUUUAAAUCCGCUCAGUAAAUAUACUCCUGUUGUAGAUUCUGAUGAAUCUAUCAAAUGUUUCAGAUCCAUUGAGUCUCGAAAACCUGACUCCCGAUGAGCCAAUGUCACUGAAACUUUACGUUGCAAUUCACAUUUCUGGCUCGCCAACACUGGACAGGCCAGAUAGAAGGCAAGUUCAACCACCUCGCCUAUCAAUCAGGUUACCGAGCUUCAUUUGUGAACAUCUUUCCAGUUAGGCCUCGAUUUCAGGCUGAUGUUCCCAAGUGGAAUGGCUCCUCGAGAAGAGCAUUCUUUACCCCAGGAUGGUGGAAACCAGAGGGAGAAUGAAUGGAAAAUGGAGACCUGCCUCUUGUAGCUGUAUGACACCUGGAUCUGUUGAUUGCAUUAGACAACACAUUCUUGAGAGAAGGCAGCUACUUCAACAGGAACUUGGCCUCGCUUUCUUUGGUUGGUAGUUUGAUGAGAUGGGUGAACAAGUUUCAAAAUCGUGGACAUUGAAGGAACUACAAAAAUUCGAAUUAUUGGUGAAAAUGAAACCAAUACCUACUGGAAGAGCUUUUUGAAACAAGCUUCAAAGUACUUUCCAACCAAGUCCAAGGAAGCCAUCAUCAGUUACUAUUUCAACGUCGUCAUUUCUGCAGCACCUAAGCAGGCAGAUAAGGUCACCUCUAAAAGAAGUUGAUUCAGACAAUAACGAGGUGCACUUCAAUUCCAUAGGCUUGCAAAAGGGAAGUAAAGGGGAAAAUGCCAUCACCAGCAAUUUAAAAGAAGCAAAGACUCGAUAUUUGCGUUUGGUUUCUUAGUCACACUAAAAGGUCACAAUAUCUAACACUAUAGCCAUAGUCUCAUUGGAAGGAAAUACGUCAAAAUCUCAUUUAUAGUUUGAUCCAGUCCGUGGCAUCUUAGCUAAGGUGGACGAUUUGGCACAUUAAUUUGCUUUUUCUCACCAAAUUUCUUUCAGAUUGCGUCUAUCUUGGUUGGUCUUCAAUACAACUAUGCGAAAGAACAUGUAUCGGAGUAUUUUUAUGGUUUCGAGAGCAAUCAUGGGAAAGUAUUAAUUAUCUUCUUUUUUUGCUUCGUAGAUACAUUUAUUUUAACAUGGAUGUUAAUUCUUAUU